CCUACGGGAGGCAGCAGUGGGGAAUAUUGCACAAUGGGGGAAACCCUGAUGCAGCGACGCCGCGUGAAGGAAGAAGUAUUUCGGUAUGUAAACUUCUAUCAGCAGGGAAGAAAAUGACGGUACCUGACUAAGAAGCCCCGGCUAACUACGUGCCAGCAGCCGCGGUAAUACGUAGGGGGCAAGCGUUAUCCGGAUUUACUGGGUGUAAAGGGAGCGGAGGCGGGUUAGAAAGUCAGAGGUGAAAGCCCGGGGCUGAACUCCGGGACUGCUUUUGAAAAUGUUGAACUGGAGUGCAGGAGAGGUAAGUGGAAGUCCUAGUGUAGCGGUGAAAUGCGUAGAUAUUAGGAGGAACACCAGUGGCGAAGGCGGCUUACUGGACUGUAAAUGACGCUGAGGCUCGAAAGCGUGGGGAGCAAACAGGAUUAGAUACCCCGGUAGUC
rnacentral:rRNA from 1 species